rnacentral:rRNA from 1 species
GGCGAGGGGAGUGAAAAAGAACCUGAAACCGUGUACGUACAAGCAGUGGGAGCACAGGUUUACCUGUGUGACUGCGUACCUUUUGUAUAAUGGGUCAGCGACUUAUAUUCUGUAGCAAGGUUAACCGAAUAGGGGAGCCGGAGGGAAACCGAGUCUUAAUUGGGCGUUAAGUUGCAGGGUAUAGACCCGAAACCCGGUGAUCUAGCCAUGGGCAGGUUGAAGGUUGGGUAACACUAACUGGAGGA